GUCUAUGCCGCACCACCCUGCAGGCGCCGGGUCUCCUCUGAUCUCGUAAAGCUCAGCAGGGUCGGGCCUGGUUAGUACUUGGAUGGGAUUCCGCCUGGGAAUAGCGGGUACCCUAGGCU
ensembl:rRNA 5S_rRNA 5S ribosomal RNA